GCCAGCAUGACAUAAUGGUUUAAGCAUUGGACUAUGACUCUGGAGGCCAAGGUUCGAAUCCUGGCUCAGCCA